UACGAAGGGGGCUAGCGUUGCUCGGAAUCACUGGGCGUAAAGGGUGCGUAGGCGGGGUCUUUAAGUCAGGGGUGAAAUCCUGGAGCUCAACUCCAGAACUGCCUUUGAUACUGAAGAUCUUGAGUUCGGGAGAGGUGAGUGGAACUGCGAGUGUAGAGGUGAAAUUCGUAGAUAUUCGCAAGAACACCAGUGGCGAAGGCGGCUCACUG
rnacentral:rRNA from 1 species